rnacentral:lncRNA from 1 species
CCCCACUCUCUUCUGGCUUGUAGAGUUUCUGCCAAGAGAUCCGCUGUUAGUCUGAUGGGCUUCCCUUUGUGGGUGACCCAACCUUUCUCUCUGGCUGCCCUUAACAUUUUUUCCUUCAUUUCAACCUUGGUGAAUCUGACAAUUAUGUGUCUUGGGGUUGCUCUUCUCGAGGAGUAUCUUUGUGAUGUCCUCUGUAUUUCCUGAAUUUGAAUGUUGGCCUGCCUUGCUAGAUUGGGGAAAUUCUCCUAGAUAAUAUCCUGAAGAGUGUUUUCCAGCUUGGUUCCAUUCUCCCCGUCACUUUCAGGUACACCAAUCAAGCGUAGAUUUGGUCUUUUCACAUAGUCCCUUGGAGUCACGUAGUUUCUUGGAGGCUUUGUUUGUUUCUUUUUACUCUUUUUUCUCUAAACUUCUCUUCUCGCUUCAUUUCAUUAAUUUGAUCUUCAAUCACUGAUACCCUUUCUUCCACUUGAUUGAAUCAGCUACUGAAGCUUGUGCAUGUGUCAUGUAGUUCUCCUGCCAUGGUUUUCAGCACCAUCAGGUCAUUUAAGGUCUUCUCUACACUGUUUAUUCUAGUUAGCCAUUCGUCUAAUCUUUUUUCAAGGUUUUUAGCUUCCUUGCGAUGGGUUCGAACAUCCUCCUUUAGCUCAGGGAAAUCUGUUAUUACCGACUUUCUGAAGACUACUUCUGUCAACUUGUCAAAGUCAUUCUCUGUCCAGCUUUGUUCCAUUGCUGGCGAGGAGCUGUGAUCCUUUGGAGGAGAAGAGGCACUCAGUUUUUAGAAUUUUCAGCUUUUCUGCUCUGGUUUCUUCCCAUCUUUGUGGUUUUAUCUACCUUUGGUCUUUGAUGAUGGUGACCUACAGAUGGGGUUUUGUUGUGGAUGUCCUUUUUGUUGAUGUUAAUGCUAUUCCUUUCUGUUUCUUAGUUUUCCUUCUAACAGUCAGGUCCUUUAGCUGCAGGUCUGCUGGAGUUUGCUGGAGGUCCACGCCAGACCCUGUUUGCCUGGGUAUCACCAGUAGAGGUUCAGUUGGAAAUGCAGAAAUCACCCAUCUUCUGCAUUGAUCACGCUGGGAGCUGCGCACUGGAGCUGUUCCUAUUUGGCCAUCUUGGAAUGGACCCUCUAAACCUUUUUAAUAAACUUUUC